rnacentral:rRNA from 1 species
AUUGAACGCUGGCGGCAUGCUUUACACAUGCAAGUCGAACGGUAACAGGCCGCAAGGUGCUGACGAGUGGCGAACGGGUGAGUAAUGCAUCGGAACGUGCCCAGUCGUGGGGGAUAACGCAGCGAAAGCUGUGCUAAUACCGCAUACGAUCUAUGGAUGAAAGCGGGGGACCGUAAGGCCUCGCGCGAUUGGAGCGGCCGAUGUCAGAUUAGGUAGUUGGUGGGGUAAAGGCCUACCAAGCCGACGAUCUGUAGCUGGUCUGAGAGGACGACCAGCCACACUGGGACUGAGACACGGCCCAGACUCCUACGGGAGGCAGCAGUGGGGAAUUUUGGACAAUGGGCGCAAGCCUGAUCCAGCAAUGCCGCGUGCAGGAAGAAGGCCUUCGGGUUGUAAACUGCUUUUGUACGGAACGAAACGGCCUGGGUUAAUACCCUGGACUAAUGACGGUACCGUAAGAAUAAGCACCGGCUAACUACGUGCCAGCCGCCGCCGUAAGAC